CAGGCCGGCGGGCUCGUCGCUCGGAUGACGUCAGCGCGCCCGUUUCCAUGGGAACCGGAGGCGCGGGCGGUGGGAGCGCCGCGGGCCGCGACCGCCGAUCCCCCCGGGCCCUCUCCGGUCCCGGCAUGUUCGCGGACAGGACGGCACCCGGUGCCGACGUGCAGUCGCUGUGGAGGAGCGCCCGGAGCGCGCGCUGCGAGGCGAAAAGUUGCCAGACUGGGAAAAUUUCAACAGCAGAAGCUGCAGCACAGUCUCAUACAGCCCGAGAUGCUGCGGUGCAGACAGAACAGAGCAAAGAUGCUGUCCAAGACUUCCAGCAAGAAGUCCAAGUAGAUUACACUGGGCUUCUGUCAUUCCUUCAGAGAGUGGAGGAUGCUGUUAUCAAAGAACUAAAUAAAAACUGGAAAAGUCAUGCCUUUGAUGGCUUUGAAGUGAACUGGACAGAUCAGGAUGAAACAGUGUUGUGUUUGCAUACAUUGUCUUACCCAGAGGCUCAGGAUCAAAACCUGCAGGUCACCAGUGUUUCAUGGAAUGCCACAGGAUCUGUCAUUGCAUGUUCCUACGGCCGGUUGGACGAUGGGGACUGGAGCACAGAAAAAUCCUAUGUUUGUACCUGGAAUCUGGACAGAAGAGGGUUGAAUCCACAGCACCCUGACCUGGUGGUGGAUGUUCCCAGUUCUGUCAUGUGCCUGGCUUUCCAUCCCUCCCAGCCAUCACUGAUAGCUGGUGGCCUGUUCAGUGGGGAGUUGGUGGUGUGGGACACCAGCAGGACAGAAGACCCUGUGAUCUGGAGGACAGGGAUGACAGAUGACACCCACACUGACCCAGUCUAUCAGGUUAACUGGUUACCUGACAGCAAGCACAGAAACCACACCCGGCUGUUGAGUGUGGCGACAGAUGGGAAGAUCCUCGUGUGGAGGGAGGAGCGGGAUGGGCGGCUGGCCUUGGCUGAAGGAUUUGCCAUCGUGGCUCAGCAGAUCCCUCGCAGCACGCGGCUGAAGAAGGUGGCCUGGGGAGAGGCAGCCGUGGGGGUGACCUCGCUGUCCUUCUCACACUUCGAUCCCGGGGUGUUCGUUGUGGGUGUGGAAGGUGGGCACUCCCUGCGGUGCUCCACCAUGGCCCAGACUCCGGCUGUCCCGCGGCCGGCUGGCUCCGUUCCCCUCAGGGCACCGGCAGAACUCGCCUUCUCCCCUCAUGCUGGGCCCGUGUACUCCGUGAGCUGCUCACCCUUCCACAGGAACCUCUUUCUGAGCUGUGGGACCGACGGACAAGUUCACUUGCACUCCAUGUUGCAGACACAGCCCCUCUUUGCUCUACAGUUAUCAAAGAAAUACCUGUUCUGUGUAUGCUGGUCUCCAGUUCGACCACUGGUUUUUGCAGCUGCAUCUGGGGAAGGAGAGGUGCACCUGUUUGACCUGGCGAGGAGCACGCAGAAGCCCACAGUGUCCCUGAAGCAGUCUGUGAGUGACUGCCCUGUGUAUUGUUUGGAAUUCAACACCAAGCACACGCAGCUCCUGGCAGCAGGGGAUGCUGCUGGGAUAGUCAAAGUUUGGCAGCUGAGCUCCGACUUCACUGAGCAGGGACCAAGGGAAAUGAGUCGCCUGGAGCAGCUGGCAAGUGAGAUCAUGGACUGAUGGAGCAGCACAACAGCUGUGUGAAGCUUGUAACUGCCCUGACUCCCAACUCACCUGGUUCCAGUGUUGGCCUGGAAAACACAGUUAAUUUCUAGCCCCAUUUGAAAGGCAACAUGAUCAGCAGCCACACUUCAUGCCAGACUCAAAGCACCCGCUUUACUGGACCUCAUG